rnacentral:rRNA from 1 species
CGAAAGCCUGACGGAGCAACGCCGCGUGUGGGAAGAAGGCCUUUGGGCUGUUAACCACUUUUCUCAGGGAAGAAGUUCUGACGGUACCUGAGGAAUCAGCCUCGGCUAACUCCGUGCCAGCAGCCGCGGUAAUACGGAGGAGGCAAGCGUUAUCCGGAAUUAUUGGGCGUAAAGCGUCCGCAGGGGGCUCAUCAAGUCUGCUGUCAAAGGUCGGAGCUCAACUCCGGUUCGGCAGUGGAAACUGGGGAGCUAGAGGGCGGCAGGGGCAGAAGGAAUUCCCGGUGUAGCGGUGAAAUGCGUAGAUAUCGGGAAGAACACCGGUGGCGAAAGCGCUCUACUGGGUCGCACCUGACCCUCAGGGACGAAAGCUAAGGUAGCG